CUACUUCAUUUGGGGAGAUACCAUGAUCACGAAGGUGGUUUUCCCAGGGUGAGGCUUAUCCAUUGCACUCCGGAUGUGCUGACCCCUGCGAUUUCCCCAAAUGUAGGAAACUCAACUGCAUAAUUUGUGGUAGUGGGGGACUGCGUUCGCGCUUUCCCCUG
ensembl:snRNA U1 U1 spliceosomal RNA